rnacentral:rRNA from 1 species
UGAGUAACACGUAUGCAACCUGCCUGCCACAGCCGGAUAAUCGGGAGAAAUUCCGUCUAAUACGGCAUAAUGCAUCGACGGGACAUCCUGUUGGUGCCAAAGGUUAAUUCCGGUGGCGGAUGGGCAUGCGUCGCAUUAGUUAGUUGGCGGUGUAACGGACCACCAAGACGACGAUGCGUAGGGGUUCUGAGAGGAAGGUCCCCCACACUGGUACUGAGACACAGACCAGACUCCUACGGAAGGCAGCAG